CACUUGAAAGACAAAAUAGGAAUAUAAUACAAUAGGAAAUCGAACUAGUGUCUGAAUAUAUACAUACUUAUCACUCAGAAGUAUUGAAAUAAUUGGCUCCAAGAAACCUUUGCUUUCUUUAAAAAAUUCUCAACAAAACCUCGUUAAGAUUGAAAGACGUAAGAAUAUUUGGCAAAGAUUGUCCAAAGUUUUAUUUUUAUAACACAACUAAGCUAUUUUUAAAUUUGGACUGAAAUUAAAAAUUUUUUUUUUUUUUUUAAAACAAGUAUAAAUUCUUCAUCGAAAUAUAUAUGAAAAUGCGUGAAAAUUAAAACACAAAAAGUCUAAAAGAUUUAGGAAGUUAAUUUUUUAAUCUCUCUAUACUUUACGAAUGAAACGUCGAUAACUUUUUUUUUUUUUAAUAUCUAGUCUAAACCGGCACAUCCCUAAGCAUUAUCUGUCUACGCUAUAUCAAUAUUGACCUAUUAAGUUACAAUGGCAGCGACUAAGUGGCGGGACAUUGUCACAUAAGUAAAUACAAUUUGCCAAAUAUACCGCAGCUUCGGAGAUUACUCGGAAGCCUAACCGCUCGGCUUUCACGGAACCGUGACGUCGUGUAUUAUGUGCGAGAGCGAGACGGCGUAUCCUUUUCGUGAUUCGUUUUCUGACCAUUCUUAAACCUUUAUUAGCUCUAAACAAACCCGACAAAUUCGGAAUCGAAAUGAAUGUAAUGCACGAUUACUGUGACUGUCGCAUUUGCUUAUUCUGUGUAUAAACCACUGAAAGAAUUUAUCGUUAACAAGAAAUAUUUCUAUCAAAUUUCCUGUUACCAAGACUUUGAAUUACGUCUCACUGAUACGGAUAGAAAACACUCGAAACACAUCAUUAAGAACGAUAUAACUAAACAGCGCAUGAGAAUUUAGGACAGAUAAGAAAUAAAAAGAUUUUAUAAAAAGAGGUUGACAAAUUGAUUUAGAAAGGAGGUCUUAUAUGUAUAUGUGAAACUAUUGAUCAGUUUCAGUACAGAGGACACAACGAACAUAAACUCUAACUGAUUCAGUAACAAUCAAUUAUAAAAAACAAAAAUCCCAGUAGUGUUAGGUUGAAGUUAUUUUGUUGGGUGAUGAAUAUCUGACCCAACUAUAAAAAUCAUUUGCUGGGAAGACUUCAAACGAGAGAUGCAAUAAGAUUACGAUAUCUAGAAGCCAAUAGAUAUUCUAGGUCAUUAAUAGAUUGUUAGAUAGAUUGCAAUGAAAAUGAACAGAUCUUGGAAGCGUGCAAGAUCGCUUCAGACACGAUUCAAAGACUAUUAAUUCCGUAUCGCCGCUCCGCACGUUGUUGUCGACGGUGCCGCCGAAAAUGUACAUGGCGUCUUCCACCACCGCACCUGCGUGGAAUAGCCGACCGGAAGGGAUUUGAGAAUCCGGCGCCGGAUGUACAACGGACCUGAGAAUAACAGCAGGACAAUAUACAAAUGCAAAUCGAAUCUCACGUAUGCGUCUCGAAGUCGAAUUGGAACAGUGCAUUGGUGAUCUUAGCACCGCUUUGUCCGCUGAAAACAAACAUCUUCCCACGGGCCACAGCAACUGGGAAAUUACAACAG